UCGGAACGUACCCUGGAGUGGGGGAUAACGUAGUGAAAGUUACGCUAAUACCGCAUACGAUCUAAGGAUGAAAGUGGGGGAUGCGCAAGCACCUCAUGCUCCUGGAGCGGCCGAUAUCUGAUUAGCUAGUUGGUGGGGUAAAGGCCUACCAAGGCAUCGAUCAGUAGCUGGUCUGAGAGGACGACCAGCCACACUGGAACUGAGACACGGUCCAG
rnacentral:rRNA from 1 species